rfam:Brassica rapa chromosome A3, whole genome shotgun sequence.
GGCUCUGUGAUUACUUUGCCUUUAUGGCAGUAUACGCUAUUCUGAAAACAGUAUGAAGAGAAAUAUUUUUACACUUAAUGAGAGCC